GACAGAGGUGCCGAGCGUUAGGCGGAAUCACUGGGCUUAAAGCGUGUGUAGGCGGGUCCGUAAGUACCUUGUGAAAUCCCACGGCUCAACCGUGGAACUGCUCGGUAUACUGCGGGCCUUGAGCCAGCUAGGGGCAACCGGAACAAACGGUGGAGCGGUGAAAUGCGUAGAUAUCGCUUGGAACGCCAAAGGUGAAAACAGGUUGCUGGGGUUGUGCCGACGCUGAGACACGAAAGCCAGGGGAGCAAACGGG
rnacentral:rRNA from 1 species